rnacentral:tRNA from 1 species
UCCCUGGUGGUCCAGUGGCUAAGACUCUGCCCUCUCAAUGCAAGGGGCCCCAGUUCGAUCCCUGGUCAGGGAA